UCCUGGAAAUAGCCUCCCUAUUAGACCGUACCCGAAACCGACACAGGUGGUCAGGUAGAGAAUACCAAGGCGCUUGAGAGAACUGCGUUGAAGGAACUCGGCAAAUUGCACGCGUAACUUCGGAAGAAGCGUGACCCUCACUCACGCAAGUGGAUGAGGGUGGCACAGACCAGGGGGUAGCGACUGUUUAUCAAAAACACAGG
rnacentral:rRNA from 1 species